rnacentral:rRNA from 1 species
AUUGAACGCUGGCGGCAGGCCUAACACAUGCGAGUAGAGCGAGCGGCGGACGGGAGAGUAAGGCAUAGGAAGCUGCCUGGUAGUGGGGGAUAACGUCCGGAAACGGUGGCUAAUACCGCAUACUAUCGGAUGAACCCAUAUGGGAUUAGCUAGUAGGUUGGGUAAAGGCUCACCUAGGCGACGAUCUCUAGCUGGUCUGACGGGAUGAUCAGCCACACUGGGACUGUGACACGGCCCAGGCGCCUACGGGAAACAGCAGUGGGUAAGAUUACACAAUGGGCGCAAGCCUGAUGCAGCCAUGCCGCGUGUAUGAAGAAGGCCUUAGGGUUUUAAAGUACGUUCAGCGGGGAGGCGUUACCCGCAGAAUAAGCACCGGCUAACUCCGUGCCAGCCGCCGCGGUAAUUC